rnacentral:rRNA from 1 species
UCCUUCGGGAAGCGAGCGUACACAGGUGCUGCAUGGCUGUCGUCAGCUCGUGUCGUGAGAUGUUGGGUUAAGUCCGCAACGAGCGCAACCCCUGCAUUCAGUUGCCAUCGGGUAAUGCCGGGCACUCUGGAAGGACUGCCAUCGACAAGAUGGAGGAAGGUGGGGAUGACGUCAAAUCAUCAUGCCCCUUAUGAUCUGGGCUACACACGUGCUACAAUGGCCGGUACAACGGGCAGCGAAGGAGCGAUCCGGAGCGAAUCCUAAAAAGCCGGUCCCAGUUCGGAUUGCAGGCUGAAACUCGCCUACAUGAAGUUGGAGUUGCUAGUAAUCGCGAAUCAGAAUGUCACGGUGAAUACGUUCCCGGGCCUU